UGGGGAAUAUUGGACAAUGGGGGCAACCCUGAUCCAGCGACGCCGCGUGAGUGAAGAAGUAUUUCGGUAUGUAAAGCUCUAUCAGCAGGGAAGAUAAUGACAGUACCUGACUAAGAAGCACCGGCUAAAUACGUGCCAGCAGCCGCGGUAAUACGUAUGGUGCAAGCGUUAUCCGGAUUUACUGGGUGUAAAGGGAGCGUAGGCGGCUUGGCAAGUCUGAUGUGAAAACCCGGGGCUCAACCUCGGGACUGCAUUGGAAACUGUCGAGCUGGAGUGUCGGAGAGGUGAGCGGAAUUCCUAGUGUAGCGGUGAAAUGCGUAGAUAUUAGGAGGAACACCAGUGGCGAAGGCGGCUCACUGGACGAUAACUGACGCUGAGGCUCGAAAGCGUGGGGAGCAAACAGG
rnacentral:rRNA from 2 species